CAGAGACUGUCUUCGUGCUGAAGGUGGCGUUGGGACAAUGAUGUCCCGACACCUUCCAGACCUUGAACUCACUGUGGAUCCACCGUGCAGUCUUAUGCACCCGGGACGCCCGUCCGAGGAUAUUCUGCCUCUGAGAGAGGCAGUAAUAAAAAGCCACACGACCGGAACAGAGAUGUUUCCACACUGGCCACCCGCAGCUCAGCAAGGAAGCCGAAAGCUGAGAACGCGUCACUGGAGCUGAGCGGAGGGGCCGACCCCACAGCCAACCACAGCUUUCCUCCGGAACGCGAGGCUAUUAAUUCAGACUUUAUAACCCACGGGGUUGCGGUGGAAUCUGGGAAAAUGGCACCCCAGCUCUUUGUCAUUCUUCCCGGCUCAAUCCAUGUAAAUAUAUUCUAACGCAGAACCGCAGAACGGGUCUGCGGGAGGUUGGAGCGCACAGCCAUUAGCAUUUUGAUGGGUUUUCCCAGCACAUGGAACAAGACAGCUUUAAAAUUCAGAGUGUGGAGAUUAACCCUUCCAGUCAUGCUUUGCUCUCCCCAGCUCGAGGUGGCCAAGAACUUUCUACCCCUUUACUGACCUCGAUUAGGAAGGAAGGUCAGGAACUCAGAAAGCUCAGUCUUAAUGUCCUACAGAGAAGAGACGACGCUGAUUUUCUAGGCUGGGGAGAACAUUCACGCCCCCUUCUGAGAUUCCCCAAACUAACAGCUAACGUAGAUCGCUGGCUCACCCCGUCUCUGAGCUGGGCUCUCGGCACGAAGGCGGCUGAUGUCAUGUCACCGCCACCCUGCGUGAAGGCACCUUUGUGACCCCACUCCAGAGACGAGGAACCGGAAGCCCAAGCGGCCAGCCUCAGACCACAGGCCGAAGCCCAAAGCGCCAGGAUCUGCAGCCCAGGCAGCCUGGCCCCGGAGGCUGCCCCUCAA
rnacentral:lncRNA from 1 species